rnacentral:rRNA from 1 species
AUGAAGUAUCAAUUACCCAUAUCCAAGGUACAUGGGCAAGGGUAUGACGGUGCUAGUAACAUGAAGGGUCAUGUUAAUGGUUUGAAGAAACUAAUUAUGGAAGAUUCUCCAUCUGCUUAUUAUGUUCACUACUUCGCCCAUCAGCUUCAACUAACCCUUGUAGCUGUUGCUAAGGAGAAUAUUGGUUGCAAAUGGUUCUUUGGACACCUUGCAUAUUUGUUGAAUGUUCUUGGGAUGUCAUGUAAAACGAUCUGCAUGCUUCGCGUCGCUCAGUCCGAGUAUAUGAUUGAAGCAUUGAAACUAGGUGAAAUUGAAGUUGUCCAAGGUUUGAAUCAAGAGAUGGGACUAGCAAGGCCAGGUGAUACGCUAUGGGGUUCCCACUAUAAAACGGUAAUGCACGCUAUGUCUGUGUAUCCUUCAAUCAGGAAAGUUCUCUUUAAGCUUGGGAAAGAAAGUAAUAGUGCAGAGGCUUUAGGAGCUCAGACAAUAUUGGAAGUAUUUAAAUCAUUUGAGUUUGUUUUCAUGCUGCACUUGAUGAAUGAAAUAUUUGGAUACACAAAUGACUUAAGCAAUGCUUUGCAAAAGAGAGAUCAGGAUAUUGUGAAUGCAAUUGAUCUUCUUGAGUUCACAAAGGUACAACUGCAAGUUCUGAGAGAAGAUGCUGGAUGGAGAGAAUUCCUUGAGAAUGUCACUUCUUUUUGUGUGAAGCACAAUGUCAGAUGUGUUGACAUGGAUGGGAAGUACAUGCCUAUACAAAGAGCAAGAUUGUUCUAUAAAAAUGCCAUGAAUUACCACAGGUUUCAUGCGGACAUGUUUUUGGGUGUCAUUGAUAGGUAA